rnacentral:misc_RNA from 1 species
GAUGAAGAACGUAGCGAAAUGCGAUAAGUAAUGUGAAUUGCAGAAUUCAGUGAAUCAUCGAAUCUUUGAACGCACAUUGCGCCCGCCAGUAUUCUGGCGGGCAUGCCUGUCCGAGCGUCAUUUCAACCCUCGAACCCCUCCGGGGGGUCGGCGUUGGGGAUCGGCCCUCCCUUAGCGGGUGGCCGUCUCCGAAAUACAGUGGCGGUCUCGCCGCAGCCUCUCCUGUGCAGUAGUUUGCACACUCGCAUCGGGAGCGCGGCGCGUCCACAGCCGUUAAACACCCAACUUCUGAAAUGUUGACCUCGGAUCAGGUAGGAAUACCCGCUGAACUUAAGCAUAUCAAUAAGCGGAGGA